rnacentral:rRNA from 1 species
UACGGAGGGGGCUAGCGUUGUUCGGAAUUACUGGGCGUAAAGCGCACGUAGUCGGCUUUGUAAGUUAGAGGUGAAAGCCCAGGGCUUAACCCUGGAAUUGCCUUUAAGACUGCAUCGCUAGAAUUGUGGAGAGGUAAGUGGAAUUCCGAGUGUAGAGGUGAAAUUCGUAGAUAUUCGGAAGAACACCAGUGGCGAAGGCGACUUACUGGACACAUAUUGACGCUGAGGUGCGAAAGCGUGGGGAGCAAACAGG